UACGUAGGUGGCAAGCGUUGUCCGGAAUUAUUGGGCGUAAAGCGCGCGCAGGCGGUCUCUUAAGUCUGAUGUGAAAUCCCGUGGCUUAACCACGGGCGGUCAUUGGAAACUGGGGGGCUUGAGUGCAGAAGAGAAGAGCGGAAUUCCACGUGUAGCGGUGAAAUGCGUAGAGAUGUGGAGGAACACCAGUGGCGAAGGCGGCUCUUUGGUCUGUAACUGACGCUGAGGCGCGAAAGCGUGGGGAGCAAACAGG
rnacentral:rRNA from 1 species